CUAAAACAGGGUUCUCUCUGUGUUGCUGUCAGGUGACAGGGCGAUGCCGGAAAAAGCGGAAGUGAAAACGCGAAAAGCACUUUGCUCAUUUGAAAGGCGCUUUGGUCGGUCACAGGUGGAGAUGCAGAUGGUGCUGCUGACGUUUGCUAGCGAGGAGGAACUCUUCAAAAUAUCUCUUUGUCACGCCAAAGCCAAAUUGGUACUCCGCAUCGCGGUGGACGACUCCGCCUCCAAGAUAAGACUCCGUUUCAAGUUUGGCGCCCGACUGGAGUUGGUUGGUGAGCUGCUGGGCCCACAUUACUCACUGGCAGGCAAGUUUGAUCAAAUUGUUUUUUAGUUAAUAAUUUUUAGUUUAUUUUUACUAUUCAAAUGUAUUUAAGAAAAUAUAUUAAUAUCAAUUUGAUUUGUUUUUGACUGGUGUGUGUGUGUGUUUAAUUUUGUUUUCCUAAUAAAAUUGAACUGUUGAAGUGAAUUGUAGAAAUACUCCUUCUGGAACGUAAUUGGUUGCUAUGGUUACUAGGGGUUCCGACUGGACGACUCUCUGGGCGGCGGCGGGUUCUUUGCUAGCUAGCUGCUUUUUUAGCUACUGAUUAACAUCGCCACAAUAAUGGCUAAACAAGUGUCUUUAAUGUGUUAUUUUGAAAAAGCAAGAGUUGAGGGAGAAGACUCGCCACUGCCUCCAUCUACCGAGUCCACCCAGCACAGUUCUUUGGACUCAUUAGCCCACAAGAAGCCUAGUCAGGUGCCCGUGGCGGCCGCUGCUUGCUCCGUGGCAGUGCCGGUGCUCUCUCCCGGUCAGCCUGACGCGGGUUUUCCCGCCGAUCUAACCGCAAUUGAUGAACCACCUUCACAACCCAAUUUGAAGGUAUUUCCCUGCACUGUCAAGAAUGGAAAAUCAAGGAGCUUCUCAUCAAAGUGCACGGACAGUUUCCUUGGUUGGAGUACAGUGUGAUCAAGGACGCGAUUUUCUGUAAAAUGUGCAGACAUUUUCCAAGCGCAGCUGACAGCCCAUUUGCGACAGAGCGACUGGAGCUCCAAAUCCGGAGCAGUGAGCGAAGUACUGACGUUUCUCGAUGUAAUAUUAGAAGUGCUUGCUGAAUAUGCUGAAAGCAGUGGCCACUCGAAGGUUGAGGCGCAGUCACUGUUGCAACAAAUACAAACAAAAAAGUUCUUAUUUUUACUCGUCACAUUUGGAAAGUUAUUUCAGACGAGCGAUUUUGCCACACGUGGUUUACAAAGCCCAACAUUGUCAGUUUCUGAGUGCAUCGAUAUUAUUGAGGGACUAAAAGAGAGCUCUGCUCGGUUUAGAGACAAUUCAGGGUGUGAUUUUGAGCAAGUAAUGAAGCUGAAGAGUUGAUGCGGAAACAUUUAAUCACAGCUGGGACCAGAGUGAGAAAGCUCCCUGCGAGGGUUGCAGGAUCAGUGGUCACAACUAGUUUGGGGAAAGCAACAAGUGUGAGAAAUAAUGAUGGCUUAAGACACAUAUGGAACGACAUCCUUGACAGACAGCUGGCAGAGCUGGACAAUCGUUUCCAAGAGGAUCACUAUGGAAUAAUGAGGGCAGCAGCAACUUUUCUCCCACAGUCUAAGACUUUUGCAAUGAAGGAUUCUCUGCGGCCCCGUGUGAUGACUUUCAUAUAUUGGCUGAGGACGAAGUGAUUUAACUAUGCGGUGUGUUGUAUAGCUGUACUGUCUGCCUUAUAGGCCACAUUGUUUAGUUUAAAGGAGUUGCUAUUCCUAUUGAUUGCAUUGUAUAUGGUUGAUUUAACAGAAUUUAGGGAGUGUGUUGUUAUUUAUUUCAAACCGUGCUCUGCUGAGAGUUUUUAUUAUUUUGAUUUAAUUUCUUUUACUUUUAGCCUACUCUUAUUUUCGGGGAACUGUCUCUGCACUGCUGACUAGCCUGAAUAAAAUGGACAGGUUAUUGUGUAUGCUGGUUUGUCUAGCCUUUAUUGAGCUCUGCUAAAUGAUGUUUAGACAGUGUUUUGUUAUUGUCUUUGCCGAAUAUUGCAAAAUAAAGGUGUAACUGUUUUUGCAAUUUAGCUAUUCUCUUUUCUGCUCUCUAAGGUUUAAUUAUUAUUUAAGUAAUUUUUUUUCUACAAAAAACUGUAGGCCCACCCACUUUUUCACUGGCCCGCCCAAAAUACAAUUUCUGCCUACGCCCCUGGUCACAAGUCAUCUGACUUACGUAUAAUUCUCUGAUUACUCUUUUAUUUGCCCGUCUCUUGUGUGUGAAUCUAGAUAGCUUUGAUUUAUUUUCCCAUAGCAGGCGUUACAUGUAAAGCAAUACAGGGGGAAAAUAUAAAAAAACACUGAACACACUUUUUCUGUGUGUGUGUGUGUAUCUAUAAAUGUAUUUGUGAACGUA